rnacentral:rRNA from 1 species
GCUUGCUUCUCUUGAGAGCGGCGGACGGGUGAGUAAUGCCUAGGAAUCUGCCUGGUAGUGGGGGAUAACGUUCGGAAACGGACGCUAAUACCGCAUACGUCCUACGGGAGAAAGCAGGGGACCUUCGGGCCUUGCGCUAUCAGAUGAGCCUAGGUCGGAUUAGCUAGUUGGUGGGGUAAUGGCUCACCAAGGCGACGAUCCGUAACUGGUCUGAGAGGAUGAUCAGUCACACUGGAACUGAGACACGGUCCAGACUCCUACGGGAGGCAGCAGUGGGGAAUAUUGGACAAUGGGCGAAAGCCUGAUCCAGCCAUGCCGCGUGUGUGAAGAAGGUCUUCGGAUUGUAAAGCACUUUAAGUUGGGAGGAAGGGUUGUAGAUUAAUACUCUGCAAUUUUGACGUUACCGACAGAAUAAGCACCGGCUAACUCUGUGCCAGCAGCCGCGGUAAUACAGAGGGUGCAAGCGUUAAUCGGAAUUACUGGGCGUAAAGCGCGCGUAGGUGGUUUGUUAAGUUGGAUGUGAAAUCCCCGGGCUCAACCUGGGAACUGCAUUCAAAACUGACUGACUAGAGUAUGGUAGAGGGUGGUGGAAUUUCCUGUGUAGCGGUGAAAUGCGUAGAUAUAGGAAGGAACACCAGUGGCGAAGGCGACCACCUGGACUAAUACUGACACUGAGGUGCGAAAGCGUGGGGAGCAAACAGGA